rnacentral:tRNA from 1 species
UGGGGCUGUAGCUCAGCUGGGAGAGCACCUGCUUUGCACGCAGGGGGUCACCGGUUCAAGUCCGGUCAGCUCCACCAU